rnacentral:rRNA from 1 species
GAUGAACGCUGGCGGCGUGCUUAACACAUGCAAGUCGAACGGAAAGGCCCUGCGUUUGUGGGGUUCUCGAUUGGCGAACGGGUGAGUAUCACGUGAGUAACCUGCCCUUGUCUUUGUGAUAACUUCUGGAAACUGGGGCUAAUAUCGGAUAUGAGCUCUUGCUGCAUGGUGUGGGUUGGAAAGUUUCGGCGGUUGUGGCUGGACUCGCGGCUUAUCAGCUUGUUGGUGGGGUAGUGGCGUACCAAGGCUUUGACGGGUAGCCGGCCUGAGAGCGUGACCGGGCUCAAUGGGACUAAGAGAGGGAGCAGAAUCCUAUGGGCGGCAGCAGUCGGGAACCUUGCACAACGGGCGGAAGCCUGAUGCAGAAACCCCGCGAGCGGGAAGCCCGCCUUCGGGUUGAAAACAGCUGUCGAAUGUGACGAAGAGUGAGUGACGGUAAUGAGUAAAGAAGCAACGGCUAACUACGUG